rnacentral:lncRNA from 1 species
CCAAGCUAAGAGACACAAAGGGAAAAGUGUGACUGCUCUGACAGCAAAAACAAGCAAAUAUCUCCAGAGGGGAUUAAUCCCUCUGCUUCAAAGUAACCAAAACAAAGAAAGCUGAGCUAGCUUCAGAGGAAACAACACCUGUCCAUCAGACAAGGAUGCGCUAAU